UGUGUGUAUAUAUGUGUGUAUAUGUAUGUAUAUAUGUGUAUAUAUGUACAUAUGUAUACACACACACACACACACACACACACACACACACACACGUCU
rnacentral:miRNA from 1 species